rnacentral:rRNA from 1 species
AUUGAACGCUGGCGGCAUGCUUUACACAUGCAAGUCGAACGGUAACAGGCCGCUAGGUGCUGACGAGUGGCGAACGGGUGAGUAAUGCAUCGGAAAGUGCCCAGUCGUGGGGGAUAACUACUCGAAAGAGUAGCUAAUACCGCAUACGAUCUAUGGAUGAGAGCGGGGGACCGUAAGGGCUCGCGCGAUUGGAGCGGCCGGUGCGGGAGUAGGUAGUUCGUGGGGUAAAGGCUCACCAAGCCAACGAUCUGUAGCUGGUGUGAGAGGACAACCGGCCACACUGGGACUGAGACACGGCCCAGACUCCUACGGGAGGCAGCAGUGGGGAAUUUUGGACAAUGGGCGCAAGCCUGAUCCAGCAAUGCCGCGUGCAGGAAGAAGGCCUUCGGGUUGUAAACUGCUUUUGUACGGAACGAAACGGCUCUGGUUAAUACCCGGGGCUAAUGACGGUACCGUAAGAAUAAGCACCGGCUAACUACGUG